rnacentral:lncRNA from 1 species
AAUGUGGUCAGCAAAGUUUUUGCCCUUUGGCAGUUCGUUAGCGUCCUCAUACAUGAGCUUUGAUUGGGAUGAAAACUUAGAAUAGAGUGGCAGUGACUAAAUUGGGGUGAAAAAACUCUGCUAGGGGAAGUCCGAGGUAGUUGGAAAAGAGCUGCAUUGUGCUGCAACAUAAACAUCUACAAACAGAAUCUUGAUUAUAACAACUAAAAACAACAAGCAAGAAUAUAUUAACUAAUAAAUGUGUGUGUAUAUAUAUGUGUGACAAAUAAGAACACAUAUUAACUAAAAUUAGUUGUUACCACUAAAAAUCAUCGAAAAAGGAUAAGGAUUUUGGCGUAAAUGGUAAGUAAUAUACAGGAAAUAAAAUAGGUACGGAGAGAAAAAGUAGAAACAUACACUUUAAUGCCAUAAGGGAAAAAGAAGCCGAAGAACUCGCUCCAGAAAGAAAGAGAUACGAAGGAGCAAACUAGCGCAGAGGAUAGGAAGAGGAUACACUUUGAUCACGUUUUAACUUGUAUUCGUUUUGCAAAAAAAAAUUGCAAACGUACUACUUUUUUGCAUAACUUCAGCAUACGGGGCUGAAGUAGCAAAGGUAAUCACGCAAAAUUUCAUUUCAACUCUAGAGUUGAAAUUUUAUUUUUGUAACUGAUGAACAUUAGCGCUAGAGCUGAAGUUCUAAUUUGGCUGUGAUUACAAAGCUUCUAGGUAAACGUAGCAAAGAUAAGAUAUCCCACGAUAAAGUAAUAAAAUUGACAUUCUAGAAUUAAUACAAUAUACCAAACAAUUAAUAAGAAAUAAUACUAGGAUGACUACUUUUAACAUAAUCUAAUCUCACCAUAAUUUAAAUUCAAACUAAACAAUCCCUAAGAGUAUACUUUUGACAUUAAUAUUUGAUUUAUCCCUUCGAUUAUCCUUUAUAUAAAUAAAUACAAGUAUUUUGGUAUGAGAUAUUUUAGAAAGAAAAAUAUUUGGGAUUUUUAUAUAAUACAGCCGCCUCCAAAUAAUAUUUGACGGACCGGCCAAAUAUGCCAAAGCCGAGGAAGAUUUUAGGCCACUUGACUAGAAGGAACUUGGCCAAAGACCAACUACCUUCUACCAAGCCGGACGAGAAACAAACUAACGGAUUGGCAAUUUUCAAGCUACCUUCUAGUCCAUCUAUAUCAUAUAGGUGUCAAACGGGCCGGGUUGACCGGACCUAGACCGGCCCGGCCCGGCCCAAUGCUUAGGGGACUGGGUGGGCUGUGUUAUUCUACAAAAAUUGCACGGGGCGUUUAAUUUGAUCGCCCUUAUUUAACUUAUACACAUUUUUUUAAAAAAUUUUAACUUGUAUCCACUUUGUAAAUAACUUCAGCCCCCUUUUCUCAUCCUCCUUCACUUUCUUCCUCCAGCUCCUUCUCCUUCUCCUCCUUCUUUCUUUCUUUCUCAUCGUCCAAUUCAUAAUCUUAUAGGAAAUCGAAGGAAUCACCCAGACUUAUUCUU